CUGUAUAAUGUUAGUAUUUCGUUUCCUUAAAAAAAACUCCAACAAUUUAAACCGGAAGUUCAUGUUUAUAAUAUGGCGCGGUCAGGAAAAAAAUUUCGGCAUGUUAUUAUCAAAUCUGUUCAAUUUUUCUGAAAUCAUGCUUAAUUAACAUUAGUUGUUCGGCGCUACGAUGUUGUUCAAAUACUUACAUUACAGAAUCACAUUAUGAUUAAAGCAGAAACGGCUCGACUUGAACCAGCAGGUAAGAAUCUGUUUUGAAAUUAUAUCUUGGGAGGUUGGAUUGGCGUUGGAGACCCGAUUGGCGGCCAUUUUGAUUCUUGUUUCAUGAUUUUUUUUAUAUUAUAACGAUUUUGCCAAGAGUAGACAUAAACGCGGGCACAGACUAGAAAAAAAUCUUUUUACACUUUUGUGUUAGUUGAAUUGUAAUCUAAUUUAUGUUUAAAAAAACAACCUUUAAUCUAAUAAGCAGACAGAAGAUAUGGACGAACAAGAAGAAGAAGUUAUGGAGGUCCCAACAACUGAACCUAUGGAAGUAGAAGAAUCGUUUACAGCCGAAACCCGAUACGAUGUGCCAGUUCCGGUCAUGGAGUCCUCCAUCUCAGACGAUGCCGACGUUAGUGUCUUCUGCGACGAAGAACCCGUAGUGGUGUAUACGCAGGUAGAAGCUGGUUCCUCCCGUGGCAAGUCCAAGUUGUUUGACAACCAAGGGUUUAGUUAUACAAUUAAGACAGAGAAGAAAACUACGAUUUGGAGGUGUUCCAAAAGAAGCGGACCAACACGAUGUCCGGCAACAGUAAUCCAAGAUGGUGAUACAUACCAACCAGGCUUAAAGAACCAUCUUCACCCAGCAGAACCCGGUAUACAAACGGCUACCAAGAUAAAAGUUACAGCAAAGCAUGAAGCCAAAGGAAAUGUUUUUACCAAGUCAUGUUCCUCAAUAGCGGAGAGAGUUUUAUCCAGUGUCGGUUCUGCAGAAGAACCCAUUCAUAGCAGACCACCCAUGGCAGCACUUGUAAGGUCGCUACAAAGAACCCGACAGACUCUGCGACCAAAAGAUCCCACUGACGUGUC